UACGAAGGGGGCUAGCGUUGUUCGGAUUUACUGGGCGUAAAGCGCACGUAGGCGGGUCGUUAAGUCCGCUGUAAAAGUCAAAGGCUCAACCUUUGAAUGCCGGUGGAUACUGUCGGGCUAGAGUCCGGAAGAGGCGAGUGGAAUUCCUGGUGUAGCGGUGGAAUGCGCAGAUAUCAGGAGGAACACCAAUAGCGAAGGCAGCUCGCUGGGACGGUACUGACGCUAAGGCGCGAAAGCGUGGGGAGCGAACAGG
rnacentral:rRNA from 1 species